rnacentral:lncRNA from 1 species
CAGAUUCCUGGUAGGACCUCUGCAGCUGCACAAGGGAGGGAAUUAAUUGGAGGCCAGAUUCAUCAUGAAGGUAAAGAGAACAGUCUUCAAACUGAGAAAGAUCCUCUACAGAAAGCAGAAGAACACAUUAAGUGAUUAAAUGGAUUGCUUACGGCCACAGAUUCCAAACAGAAACAUUGGAUUUCAGACAUCAGCUCCAGGAUCCCUCUUCCAGUAAAAUCACUUUUGGCUUCAUUUGAGAUAGCUUCCCUUCCUUCU